rnacentral:tRNA from 1 species
GGGGGCAUAGCUCAGCUGGGAGAGCAGUGCGUUCGCAACGCACAGGUCAUGGGUUCGAAUCCCACUGUCUCCA